rnacentral:rRNA from 1 species
AGAGAAGCGCAAACGGUGGAUGCCUUGGCAGUAAGAGGCGAAGAAGGACGUGGAAUCCUGCGAAAAGCUAUGGGGAGCUGGAAACGAGCGUUGAGCCAUAGAUGUCCGAAUGGGGGAACCCGGCUGCAGCGAUGCGGUCAUUUGCAUUUGAAUACAUAGGAUGCAAAGGCGAACUCGGGGAACUGAAACAUCUAAGUACCCGAAGGAAAAGAAAUCAAGAGAGAUUCUCCAAGUAGCGGCGAGCGAACGGGGAGGAGCCUGGCGUGAUUUAUUAUUGAACUGAGUAGAACAAUUUGGGAAAGUUGGCGAUAGAGGGUGAAAGCCCCGUAUACGAAAGUUUGAUGAGGAACUAGGCACGCGAACAAGUAGGCCGGGACACGUGAAAUCCUGGUUGAAGAUGGGUGGACCAUCAUCCAAGGCUAAAUACUACUUACUGACCGAUAGUGAACCAGUACCGUGAGGGAAAGGUGAAAAGAACCCCGGAGAGGGGAGUGAAAUAGAAUCUGAAACCGUUUGCGUACAAGCAGUGGGAGCAUGGUUUAGGCUGUGUGACUGCGUACCUUUUGUAUAAUGGGUCAGCGAGUUACUUUCAGUGGCGAGGUUAACUGAAUAAGGGAGCCGUAGAGAAAUCGAGUCUGAAUAGGGCGAUAGUCGCUGGGAGUAG